ensembl:lncRNA
GACCUCUUCAUCAGCUCGUCCUGUCGGUCGAAGUGCUUCCUCAGUCCGGGGUUCUGGAAUAUUGACACCCCAUUCUACCUCAGGACUGUUUUCACAGUCCAUAAGGCAAGGUGGCAUUGGCAGCAACUCUUGCACCAACCGAUCCCUCACCUCUCCCACCCACCUCUCCACAAGACCAAGGCCUUUUGAUUUUAAUCAGAUAGACUCUAUUGAACUUCCGCAUAAUUUUAUAGCAUCACCACAGGAGCAUCAAGCUGAAAAUGGUGCCUUACCAUUAAGAGACCCUUUGGGUACACAAAAAGGUAAUCAUCUAGGCAGUGACAGGGAUUUCCCUUACACAUCCUUCCACUUAGAGGCAGACCUGACUGUGGCACCUGAGCUGAGAACAGAGCUUGAAAUUGAAGAAACCGAACUGAAUGAAGGUGUAGCUAUGAACUGCAGUGCGCAAAUUGUAGUUGAAGGUGAAGACAACCAGGAAGACUUCUGGGAGCCAGAUGAAGAGAAGUCCAUAAUGUCUACCCAGGGAUUGUCUUGUACUGUUGAUCCUUGUAGGGAAGACUGGGGUAAUAGUUCUUCUGAUGGGGACACGGAAAACUACUUCAACUUCACUCGCACGGUGGUUACUUGCAAGGCUCAAAGGGAUGCCUCUCAGACAUCUACAUCUCCAUCUUUAAGGCAGAUUUCACAACUUGAUGGUGUGGAUGAUGGGACAGAGAGUGAUACAAGUAUGGCUAAUAGUGAUAACCAGGGAGUGAAAUUGUCAAAUCAAGCCCAAAAGCCACACAAAUCGCUCAACGCUGUGCCUCAUGAACAGACCGCUAGCAAUGGGCUGUGUUUGGCAUUUCCAAGUCCUGUUUCUGAUAUUUCUUCAAUUUGGUUAGAACCCGUGUCCAACUCGGAGGCUGUUGCUGAUCAAGAUUCUUUUGGUGUAACUCAAACAUUGCAAUCAAACCCACACGUUGACAGUUUGACUAAUUUUGUUGACCUAAAGCCUUCAAACCCUGCAUUUUCUACAUAUGCUAAUGAUUACCAAGCUCCUCAUUUAGUGGUAGAACCAGAGACACCCUUAAUUCUUGAGAGAUGUGAUCCUCUUUCACCAAAUGCACAUUUCACUGAGUUGGUCCCAGUCCAAGAUUCUCUGAGUGACCCACCAGACUCUAAAGAAUUGUACUUGGAUCCUAAUAGUGGCCACUUUGUGUCAUCUAUGGAUGACUGUAGAGUCUACCAAAACAACCACUUGCAAGAUGAUUUUCCUGACUUAAUGGAAGUGAAUGGAAUUCAGAGUCUACAGGAACAAAAUCCUGUUCCUUCCACGGUGUUACUCAAAUCUGCAUCAUCUUCUGAACCUUUAUCUUCUGAUUCCUCUGCACACGUCCCUUUGGCAACAUUCCCAAAUCAGACACCUUCUGCAAAUGUUUCCUUGUUCCCUGUCCAAACUCCUGAGGGUAAGACGGUCUUGCCACCCAUGGAGAGUUUCAGAACCAAAUUACACCCACCUGCUGAACCAAGGCAUCCUGCCCCUUCAGUUCCUGGAGGGGCGAUGCCAUGUGUUCCCACAAAUUUGCAACAGAAACCAGAGUCUAUGCUGUCUGUACCAUCAGCCACUGGUGUACCCCUUGGGACUUAUGGGCCAGUUUCGGGUACAGUGUCUGUCCCGUUGCAUCCCACUUACCCGCAGCCUAUCGGCUCUACAACAGUUGCCAUAGUCUCCACCUCCUCCUCUGUAACUUCUCAACCAUCAGCUCAGUGCCAAGCAAUGCCUUCUGCCAUUCAGCCAGCCUCUGCUCCAGGUGUCAUCAAUGGGUACAACACCACACCUAUGCAAAGAGAAACAGCUCUAGGACGAACGAUUUCCAUCAAUUUUUCAACCCCCAGAUCAACAAUUGAACCCCAACAACAGUUGGUUACCCAAGCAUUACCAGGUCAUGCUAUUCUUACUGUAAAGGAGGUUGGUGGACCCAAUGUGGAUCCCACACCACAUGUUUUACUUGUUAAUCGUCUUGGUCAGAUUUUUGUCAAAAACCCUGAAAGCAACACCUUCCAGCUGCCAACUCCAAAUUCCCCUUCAUAUAACU